rnacentral:rRNA from 1 species
GUCUUUUUGAUAAUAAUUUAAAGUCUAAUCUGCCCACUGAUUUAAAUUAAAGGGCUGCAGUAUAUUGACUGUACAAAGGUAGCAUAAUCAUUAGUUUUUUAAUUGGAAACUUGUAUGAAGGAUUUGAUGAAAUAUAAACUGUCUCUUAUUUAAAAUUAAAAAUUUAUUUUUUAGUUAAAAAGCUAAAAUAAUUUUAAAAGACGAGAAGACCCUAUAGAGUUUUAUAUUAAAUUAUUUUAUAAUUAUUUAUAUAAAUAAAAAUUAAAAAUGAAUUUAAUAUUUUAUUGGGGUGAUAGAAAAAUUAAAAAAACUUUUUUUAAAUUAUUAACAUAAAUAUAUGAACAAAUGAUCCAUAAUUAAUGAUUAUAAGAAAAAAUUACCUUAGGGAUAACAGCGUAAUAUUUUUUUUUAGUUCACAUAAAAAAAAAAGUUUGCGACCUCGAUGUUGGAUUAAGAUAAAAUUUAAAUGCAAAAGUUUAAAAUUUUUGAUCUGUUCGAUCAUUAAAAUCUU